rnacentral:rRNA from 1 species
CCGGUUGAACGCUGGCGGCAGGCCUAACACAUGCAAGUCGAGCGGAUGAGAAGAGCUUGCUCUUCGAUUCAGCGGCGGACGGGUGAGUAAUGCCUAGGAAUCUGCCUGGUAGUGGGGGACAACGUUUCGAAAGGAACGCUAAUACCGCAUACGUCCUACGGGAGAAAGCAGGGGACCUUCGGGCCUUGCGCUAUCAGAUGAGCCUAGGUCGGAUUAGCUAGUUGGUGAGGUAAUGGCUCACCAAGGCGACGAUCCGUAACUGGUCUGAGAGGAUGAUCAGUCACACUGGAACUGAGACACGGUCCAGACUCCUACGGGAGGCAGCAGUGGGGAAUAUUGGACAAUGGGCGAAAGCCUGAUCCAGCCAUGCCGCGUGUGUGAAGAAGGUCUUCGGAUUGUAAAGCACUUUAAGUUGGGAGGAAGGGCAUUAACCUAAUACGUUAGUGUUUUGACGUUACCGACAGAAUAAGCACCGGCUAACUCUGUGCCAGCAGCCG